AAAGUACUCCCUCCGUCCCGAAAUUCUUGUCUUAGAUUUGUCUAGAUACGGAUGUAUCAAGUCACAUUUUAGUAUUAGAUACAUCCGUAUCUAGACAAAUCUAAGACAAGAAGUUUGGGACAGAGGGAGUAGUUG
rnacentral:pre_miRNA from 1 species